GCCCUUGUAGUACAAACUAAUACACUAGUCUUGUAAACUAGAAAUGGGACCCACAACCCCCUAGGACA
rnacentral:tRNA from 1 species